GAUGAACGCUGGCGGCGUGCCUAAUACAUGCAAGUCGAGCGAACGGACGAGAAGCUUGCUUUUCUGAUGUUAGCGGCGGACGGGUGAGUAACACGUGGAUAACCUACCUAUAAGACUGGGAUAACUUCGGGAAACCGGAGCUAAUACCGGAUAAUAUUUUGAACCGCAUGGUUCAAAAGUGAAAGACGGUCUUGCUGUCACUUAUAGAUGGAUCCGCGCUGCAUUAGCUAGUUGGUAAGGUAACGGCUUACCAAGGCAACGAUGCAUAGCCGACCUGAGAGGGUGAUCGGCCACACUGGAACUGAGACACGGUCCAGACUCCUACGGGAGGCUGCAGUAGGGAAUCUUCCGCAAUGGGCGAAAGCCUGACGGAGCAACGCCGCGUGAGUGAUGAAGGUCUUCGGAUCGUAAAACUCUGUUAUUAGGGAAGAACAUAUGUGUAAGUAACUGUGCACAUCUUGACGGUACCUAAUCAGAAAGCCACGGCUAACUACGUG
rnacentral:rRNA from 1 species